UUAAUUUUAGUCCUAAUCCAAUUAGGACUCUAUUUGAAUUCGAAGUCCUAAUCCAAUUAGGAUUUCUAGGAAUCCUACUCCAAGUAGGAAUCCAAUUUUAAAAUUCAAAGUUCCUAAUCUCAUUAGGAUUAUAGGAAUCCUAUUCCAAGUAGGAAUCCCAGUCCUACUCCAACUAGGAUUCCCAGCCCUAAUCCAAUUAGGACUCUAGGAAUCCUACCCGAAGUAGGAUUUGUGUUUAAGUCUAAUUAAUUAAUUCCCUUUGUUCCUUCUUCAACUUCUUAUCAAUCAAAUUGAUUACUCGUGAUUCCUAAUCACGAUUUCAACCAUCGGAUCGGUCAAUACUUCUAGUGUGUGUGACCCCAUAGGUUCUAUUCUGACUGGUAGUGAGAUAUAUU
rnacentral:lncRNA from 1 species